UAGGUUUUAAUAUGUAGAUUAUUUGUUGAUUAUAUAGCAGUCUUAUAUUCCAAUUAAUUAGGCAUUCCGUGCUUAAUUAUACGCUUAAAUUCGAUACUGGUUUUGAUCGGCUUUAAUUAUGCUUUGAGUGUAACGAUAUUCUGAAAAUUGCGUUCGUCGUACUUACAUUUUAUUUGUUUUAUGACCGGAUGGCCUGAUAAACGUCUCGUUGGUAACGAUAAACUUCUUAAAUUCGCCACUUGAACCUUUAUUUUGUGUAGAAGAGUUCAAGUUCAGUAUUUUUGUAAAUUCAUCAUGUCGUCGUAUUAUGAAAUUCAAUUUAAGUAUUACCUAUGUGUGGUAAAUAAAUAGGUAGGAACGGGAUUAGUCGUUUAUAAUACGUUAUGUAUGUUCAGCUACUACGGGUAAAAAUACAAUAUAAAAAACAGGAUAAGAAUUAUGUAAUCUAUACCUAUAAAGUUAAAUAUGACCAAAAUUGCUCUAUAAAUGACUGUAGGUACAGUGAUUUUUUUGAUACAAUGUUUGGACGCGAAUCGAGACUAGAGACUGAAUAAACCUGGGGGUCUACUCUAAUUCAACGAAACGAAACUUCGAUAUCGAACGAAAUUCAAACGAAGUUUCGUUAGUGACCCUACUCUAUUUCAUUUUCGGACGCGCAUACGAACUUCGGAACCAUAGACAAUUUUCGUGAACGAAUGAAAUCUAUAAUAUGGUGUGAGGCUUUUAUGAUGUCGACUAAACUAAGUUACGGUUUUUACUUUAACUUGAAAUUAUUAAACUUUUCAGCUUUACUUAUUGAUGUGACGUUAUAAAUGUGAUUCAUUACAUAUUUCUUGUAAUAUUCAUGCAAACAAUUUAAACUUUUAGAUUAAAAAAAUAUUUUCAACUACUUUCGACUCGACACUACAAAAAACCCUUCGACAGUCAUAGCUAACCAACUAAUUUGAAGAGUACUAUUUCAUGCCAAAAAUGGGUAAUCACGUAUGACAACCAAAAAUAGCUGCAUAAUACAAGCUAAUCAUAACAUGUCAACUUACAAUUUUUUGUUUGAAUACUUUGUAAAGUUUUCUGGAGUGUGUUUCUCAAGUGUCGUAUUAAAUAAAUCAUGUUUCCAAGUGAGAUACAAAGGUCCGCGUUCCUUAAGGAAGUAUCAUGUCGUACUUUACUACAAUCCGACUUCUACGUACGACGUCUGCUGUAUUUUGGUUCGCAACAAGUUUUGUUUUGGAUUUAAACACUUUGUAAGUAGAUAUCAUAUUAUACAAAUAUAAUAUUUGGGUUUGCUCUAACACCAUUGCCUUUUCUAAUAAUAACCAUUUAUAUUUUCAGUUUAAAAUGGCUCCACAUACGGCAACUUUUGAGCAAAUAGAAACCCUUCUCAAUUUCCUGGACAAACAUAGAGAUUUAGCUCGCGGGACAUUGAAUAGUUGAACCCAGCCAGGAAGAUAGGCAGCUGUUACAACCUGGGAGUCCAGCUGUAACAGCCGCCUAUGCACCACUAUCGUUGACACAAGAAUGCCUGACUUUCACACCUUCCUCUCGACAUACACACUCUGCAAGGAGACGAUCUGCAAUCACAGGUGUAAGAAGCAGAUUGUAUCAAUAUGAAGAGGAGCGUGCCCAGAGAGAGAGACGGUGAAAAACGCAGAGCUUGCAGGCAUCAGGGGCGACUUGGCAGGCAUCAGUCCUACCCUAUUGUAGCUGCAUAACACAAUAAAGGAAUAUGUGGAUAGGAAUUAAGAUUUUGUUAGUUAUUAAUUGUGUUUAGUAUUUCUUAGUUAUUAAUUUGUUAUGUUUAAACAGGGUAAUAGUAAAUAAAACUUUAAGUAUAUAA